UUUUUAACACAAGUAUGUCCCAUGCAAUAUUUGGGACAUACUUAUACUAAAA
rnacentral:pre_miRNA from 1 species